GAUGAAGAACGUAGCGAAAUGCGAUAAGUAAUGUGAAUUGCAGAAUUCAGUGAAUCAUCGAAUCUUUGAACGCACAUUGCGCCCUCUGGUAUUCCGGGGGGAAUGCCUGUUCGAGCGUCAUUAUAACCACUCAAGCUCUAGCUUGGUAUUGGGGUUCGCGGUUUCGCGGCCCCUAAAAUCAGUGGCGGUGCCUGUCGGCUCUACGCGUAGUAAUACUCCUCGCGAUUGAGUCCGGUAGGUUUACUUGCCAGCAACCCCUAAUUUUUUUAAGGUUGACCUCGGAUCAGGUAGGGAUACCCGCUGAACUUAAGCAUAUCAAUAAGCGGAGGA
rnacentral:misc_RNA from 1 species